rnacentral:tRNA from 1 species
GGUGUAUUUUAGUGGUAGAACAUGUGCUUAGCAUGCACAAGGCCCUGGGUUCAAUCCCCAGCACC